UACGUAGGGUGCAAGCGCUGUCCGGAAUUAUUGGGCGUAAAGAGCUCGUAGGCGGUCUGUCGCGUCUGCUGUGAAAACUCGGGGCUUAACCCCGGGCCUGCAGUGGGUACGGGCAGACUAGAGUGCGGUAGGGGAGACUGGAAUUCCUGGUGUAGCGGUGAAAUGCGCAGAUAUCAGGAGGAACACCGGUGGCGAAGGCGGGUCUCUGGGCCGUAACUGACGCUGAGGAGCGAAAGCAUGGGGAGCAAACAGG
rnacentral:rRNA from 1 species